rnacentral:tmRNA from 1 species
GGGGGCGACAUGGCUUCGACGGGUAAAAUGUUAACUUAUAGUUGCAUGUCGAGGGACUCUAGUAACCUCGUAAAUCAACUAGGGAAACUAAUAAGUGCCGAUUACGGUUACGUUGCUGCUGCUU